rnacentral:rRNA from 1 species
CUAACUUUCGUUCUUGAUUAAUGAAAACAUCCUUGGUAAAUGCUUUCGCAGUAGUUUGUCUUCCAUAAAUCCAAGAAUUUCACCUCUGACAAUUGAAUACAAAUACCCCCAACUAUCCCUAUUAAUCAUUACCCUGGAGUACAAACCUACAAAAUAAGACCAAGGUCUUAUCUUAUUAUUCCACGCUAAUGCAUUCAAAGGCAUAAGCCUGCUUUGAACACCCUAUUUUGCUCACAGUAAAUGACGAGGAUCCCAUACCCAUUAAAUUAAUGACAGAUAUGUUUUCCUCGAGGAUGGUCUCAGACCCUGGUACAUACCUUGUUUGAGGCAGACCGAAAUCCAAGACCAGAAAUUCAACUACGAGCUUUUU